rnacentral:rRNA from 1 species
AACGAACGCUGGCGGCAGGCUUAACACAUGCAAGUCGAACGCUGUAGCGAUACAGAGUGGCAGACGGGUGAGUAACGCGUGGGAACGUGCCUUUCGGUUCGGAAUAACUCAGGGAAACUUGAGCUAAUACCGGAUACGCCCUUAGGGGGAAAGAUUUGUUGCCGAAAGAUCGGCCCGCGUCCGAUUAGCUAGGUGGUGAGGUAAUGGCUCACCAAGGCGACGAUCGGUAGCUGGUCUGAGAGGAUGAUCAGCCACACUGGGACUGAGACACGGCCCAGACUCCUACGGGAGGCAGCAGUGGGGAAUAUUGGACAAUGGGCGCAAGCUUGAUCCAGCCAUGCCGCGUGAGUGAUGAAGGCCCUAGGGUUGUAAAGCUCUUUCGCCAGGGACGAUAAUGACGGUACCUGGAUAAGAAGCCCCGGCUAACUUCGUGCCAGCCGCCGCGGUAA